AUUGAACGCUGGCGGCAGGCCUAACACAUGCAAGUCGAGCGCGCGGCGGACGGGUGAGUAAUUUAUGGGGACUGCCCGACAGCAGGGGAUAACUACUGGAACCGAUAGCUAAUACCGCCUCCUAUCGGAUUACCCAUAUGGGAUUAGCUAGUAGGUGGGGUACUGGCUCACCUAGGCGACGAUCCCUCGCGGGUCUGAGAGGAUGAACAGCAACACUGGAACUGAGACAGGGCACAGCUUCCGAGGGAGGCACAGGUGGGGAAUAUUGCACAAGGGGGGCAAGCCUGAUGCAGCCAGGCAGGUGGUAUGAAGAAGGCCCUGGGGUUUUAAAGUCCUUUCAGUGGGAAGGCGUUACCGGCAGAAGAAGCACCGGCUAACUCCGUGCCAGCAGCCGCGGUAAUUC
rnacentral:rRNA from 1 species